rnacentral:rRNA from 1 species
GUCUACGGCCAUGCCACCCUAAACGUGCCCAAUCUCGUCUGAUCUCAAAAGCUAAGCAGGGUUGGGCCUGGUUAGUACUUGGAUGGGAGACCACCUAGGAAGACCAAGCAUUGUAGGCG